GGCUCGUUGGUCUAGGGGUAUGAUUCUCGCUUAGGGUGCGAGAGGUCCCAGGUUCUAAUCCUGGACGAGCCC